rnacentral:lncRNA from 1 species
GACAAAACGGUCCGGAAGUGGGAAAAAUUUGCGGUGGUGGCUAGAAAUUGAUGGAAGCGGUGGGAAAAAACACACAAACUUGACUCAAACAAGACCUAAUCAGUAACAAGACCUCGACCAGGACACAAACUCAAAACUACGGAUUCUGAAACUGAAAUAUGCAAAGGCUAUGGCGCGGAUGGGUUGUAGGACAUGAAAACAAUAUGACACUAGACUUAUGAGACGAAUACAAGAACACUCGAAACUAAGGGUAGAUGUGAACCUAAUGGUAUGUCUGGUGCUUUGAUUACCACUUGAGGAGAACAAGUGUGGCCCGAUCUUCCGAAAGGUUCUGGUAACUAUCGAUUUGGUGGAAACGAGACACAAAUCAAUCCAGCUUACGAACAACACGAUUCGAAACCCUGCAAUUAUUCUUUUUUAAUAUUUUUCUUUUACUUAGAAGCACUCAAGAAGUAAGCACAGGAAAUUUGAGCUUAAACAAGUGAAAAACGUGACCUGUGGAAACUUUUGAAAAUUGCGAAAAAUAUGAAAAAAAUAUUUGGAGGUGAAAACUCAAACUUUAGAGGCGAAUUUGGGAAUUCUAAAAUUGUCAAACCCGCAUACGGUGGGGAUAGACAGAUCCAAAAAUUUGGUUUGAUCGAUUUUGAUAUAUGGAACAUCAAAAUCGGAGUUCGUAUGCGAAAAUUAUGGCUGUUUUACGAACGGACACCGAAUUAGAGGACAAAACAGUCUGGUACUGGGAAAAAUUGGCGCGGUGGCUAUAAAUUGAUGGAAACGGUGGGAAGAAACACACAAAUUGGACUCUAACAAGACCUAACCAGUAACAAGACCUCGACCAGGACACAAACUCAACACUACGGACUCUGAAACUGAAAUAUGCAAAGGCUAUCGCGCGGAUGGGUUGUAGGACAUGAAAACAAUAUAGCACUAGACUUAUGGGACGAACACAAGGACACUCGAAACUAAGGAUAGAUGUGAACCUAACGUUACAUGUGAAGCUUUGAUUAACACUUGAGGAGAACAAGUGUGGCCCGAUCUUCCAAAAGGUUCUAGUAACUACCAAUUUGGUGGAAACAAGACCCAAAUCAAUCUACCUUGCGAACAACGCGGUUCAAAACCCUGCAAUUAUUUUUACUUUUAUUAUGAUAUUUUUAUUUUACUUAGGAGCACUCAAGAAGUAACCACAGGAAAUUUGAGCUUAAACAAGUGAAAGACGUGGCCUGUGGAAAUUUUUGAAGAUUGCAAAAAAUAUAAAAAAAACAUUAGGAGCUGAAAACUCAAAAUUCAAGGGCAAAUUUGGGGUUUCUAAAUUUAUCGAACCCGCCUCUAGCGGAGAUAGACAGAUCCAAAAAUUUGUUCUGAUCGAUUUUGAUAUAUGAAACGUCAAAAUUGGAGUUCGUAUGCGAAAGUUAUGGCUAUUUUACGAGCGGACUUCGAAUUAGAGGACAAAACGGUCCGGAAGUGGGAAAAAUUUGCGGUGGUGGCUAGAAAUUGAUGGAAACUGUGGGAACAAACACACAAACUGGACUCUAACAAGACCUAACCAGUAACAAGAUCUCGACCAGGACACAAACUCAAAACUACGGGUUCUGAAACUGAAAUAUGCAAAGGCUAUGGCGCGGAUGGGUUGUAGGACAUGAAAACAAUAUGGCACUGGACUUAUGAGACGAACACAAGGACACUCAAAACUAAGGGUAGAUGUGAACCUAACGGUAUGUCUGAUGCUUUGAUUACCACUUGAGGAGAACAAGUGUGGCCCGAUCUUCCGAAUGGUUCUGGUAACUAUCGAUUUGGUGGAAACGAGACACAAAUCAAACCAGUUUGCGAACAACACGAUUCGAAACCCUGCAGUUCUUUUUAUUUUUUUUGAUAUUUUUCUUUUACUUAGGAGCACUCAAGAAGUAACCACAGGAAAUUUGAGCUUAAACAAGUGAAGGACGUGGCCUGUGGAAUUUUUUGAAGAUUGCGAAAAAUAUGAAAAUAAAGUUUAGGAGGUGAAAACUCAAAUUGUCAGAGGUGAGUUUGGGAAUUCUAAAUUUGUCGCACCCGCCUAUGGCGGGGAUAGACAGAUCCAAAAAUUUUUCUGAUCGAUUUUGAUAUAUGGAACGUCAAAAUCGGAGUUCGUAGGCGAAAGUUAUCGCUGUUUUACGAACGGACUCUGAAUUAGAGGACAAAACGGUCCGGAAGUGGGAAAAAUUUGCGGUGGUGGCUAGAAAUUGAUGGAAGCGAUGGGAAAAAACACACAAACUUGACUCAAACAAGACCUAAUCAGUAACAAGACCUCGACCAGGACACAAACUCAAAACUACGGAUUCUGAAACUGAAAUAUGCAAAGGCUAUGGCGCGGAUGGGUUGUAGGACAUGAAAACAAUAUGGCACUGGACUUAUGAGACGAACACAAGAACACUCGAAACUAAGGGUAGAUGUGAACCUAAUGGUAUGUCUGGUGCUUUGAUUACCACUUGAGGAGAACAAGUGUGGCCCGAUCUUCCGAAAGGUUCUGGUAACUAUCGAUUUGGUGG